rnacentral:lncRNA from 1 species
AUCAAACCUUUUUUCAUGACCUACCAUUGUCAUGUCUCAUCUGGGCUAUUGUGACAUCCUCUAACUUGUCUAUUCCAAACAGAGUUGCUAUUAUGACACUUUUAAAGCAUAUGCCAAAUAAUAUUCCUCUGCACAAAAAGUCUCAUUCUUAGCCAAAGCUAACAUCCUUACUUGGGCAUUGAGUCAUCUCAUCCUGGCUAUCCUGCCUUCAUGUCCCCUUCAUCUCCCAUUAGCAGGCCUCCUUGUGCCACACUCUUGACAUGUAUCUUCUUCUGCCUUCAGGAUCUUCUGCCUGGAAAGCUCCUGUCAGACAUCAGAGAGAGCCAACAUUUGAGAUGAUGACAGACACUCUGGAUGACACGCAUCAGAAGCAUUGCUAUUUUUCAGAAAAGGAGAUUUGGGGAUUAUUUGUUACUGCAGUAUAUCCAGACAUUUCUGAGUCAAUACAGAAACGUAGCCAUUUAUUUUUAAACUUUCACAAUAUGAACUGACAACAAUAUAUCAAUUCAUUUUCCAAUUGGCAACUGUUUGAUUAUUCUUUAUGUAAUAGAAUACCUUAUAAAUACCUCCUCAAGAAUGAUGGCUUUGUAUAGAAUAAUAUACCCAAGUAAGAUUUCUAGGUUAAAUGUAAUGGUUAAAAUGUUCAUGUUGUUGAUAUAAAUAUUCAAUAGGAAUUUGAAGAGAUGAUGCACAGGACAGAGAAGCAUGAGAAAUAAUAAUCAUCACAAAACCAAUAUAUUAAUAUAUCUGAAUAAUUAUUGUAUUAGUCCAUUCUCACAUUGAUAUAAAGAAUUACCUGAGACUGGGUUAUUUAUAAAGAAAAGAGGUUUAAUUGACUCACAUUUCCACAGGCUAUAUAGUGCACAUGGCUGGGGAUGCUUCAGGGAGAAGCCAAAGGGGAAACAAGAACAUCUUACACGGCCAACAGGAGAGAGAGAGAAAAAGUGGGGGAGGUGCUACACACUGUUAAACAACCAGAUCGUGUGAGAACUCUAUCAUGAGACAGCACUAGGGGGAUGGUGCUAAUCCAUUAGAAACAACUUCCAUGAUUCAAUCACCUCCCACCAGGCCCCACCUCCAACACUUGGGAUCACAAUUCAAUGUGAGAUUUGGUUGGGGACACAGAGCCAAACCAUAUCAAUUAUUAUAGCAUAUUUGUUGUUCUAAGUAGUUUACCUGUGUAAAAAAUUUAAUCUUAUGGGAUAGGUGCCAAUGCAUUUUCCAUUUUACAGGUGACUUAACUAAAGAACAAAUAAAUUAAUUUGCCCAAGGUCACAUGGCUUGUAAGUGGUAGAAUGAGUAGUUGGAGGCAGCUUGGAAUCUAAGUUGAUAUCCACUCUUUUAUGGAUUCAUAGAGCCAGCCACAUACAUACACACACACACACGCUAAUCUAGGCAAAUAUUCUUCAACACUAAUAAAAUUUAUUGAAGAUCUUAUAAGUAACAACCCUUCUCUUUCCCUCUCCACUCCCCACUAAAAUCCCCUUUCUCAUUCUGACAUAGAAAAGAAAAAAAAAAUCCUAAGGUGUCUAGGUUGUGGGUUUAUCUCCAGUGAUAUACAUAAAAUCAAAAUGUAUCAACUACAAAGAAAAUGUAUAGAAUAUAAAUGUAUAUAAAUCUGAUGGUUCUCAGAUUUAUGAGCAUUCCUAUUCAGAAAAUACUCAUGGUUACCACCUGUUGAC